rnacentral:rRNA from 1 species
AGAGUUUGAUCAUGGCUCAGGACGAACGCUGGCGGUAUGCUUAACACAUGCAAGUCGAACGAGAAGCUUUUGACAGAACCUUCGGGGGACGUAAGAGCAGACAGUGGCGAACGGGUGAGUAACGCGUGGGCAACCUACCUAUCGGAGCGGGAUAGCCUCGAGAAAUCGGGAGUAAAACCGCAUAACACGGAUAUAUCGCAUGAUGAAUCCGUCAAAACUCCGGUGCCGAUAGAUGGGCCCGCGUCUGAUUAGCUAGUUGGUAAGGUAAGGGCUUACCAAAGCAACGAUCAGUAGCCGAUCUGAGAGGAUGAACGGCCACAUUGGGACUGAGACACGGCCCAAACUCCUACGGGAGGCAGCAGUGGGGGAUAUUGCACAAUGGGGGGAACCCUGAUGCAGCAAUACCGGGUGAGUGAAGAAGUAUUUCGGUAUGUAAAGCUCUAUCAGCAGGGAAGAUAAUGACAGUACCUGAAUAAGGAAGCCCCGGCUAACUACGUGCCAGCAGCCGCGGU